rnacentral:lncRNA from 1 species
CCUGCAAAAUUUCAAACAUAACCAAACCAAUUCCAGAAUUUCAACCAAAGCAUUUAUAUACUUAAUCCUACUUGACAUAUUGACAUAACAACUUGAUUAAUAAAAAUCCUAUUAUCAUAUCUAAUUAACACAUAAAACUAAUCAAGCCAUUUCAAUUUGAUACCAAUGCUAUAAAGAACUUCUACCAUUUUACUAAUAUAAUCAUCAGAACACAUAAUAUCUUACUUUACAACAAAACUAUAUAACAUACCAAAAUAACUAUUAUAAUUCCUAUGUACAUGCCACUUUCUCUUUAAGGAAGAAAACAUCACCAAAAUUUUUAUGUCGGAGUCGGGAUUGUCCUGGAUGCUGAACCGAGACUCUAACCCUUUUUUAACCUGCGCACGGAAACAACCGUACGCUGAGUAUUUUAUACUCAGUGGUAUUACCAUAAUUCAAAUUAUAAUAGCAAUAAAGAAUUAUAAUUACCAAGCAAUGUAAUUAUUCGAUUUCUUAAAUAUCAAUUAAUUUAUAAAUUUUCAUUAAUUAACAAUAACAAUACAAUUUUAGCUAUUCUUCAAUUUCAAUCACAUAUCACAUGUAAUAAUUUCAAUCACUACUUAAAUAUUGAAGUCAUGCCUUUCAUUUUCAAUCUCAUCUUCAAUCCAUAAUUUUUAAAUUUUCUCAUUUCAAUUAUUCACCCUAUUAACAAUUUAGACUUUGACGGAUACACGGAUUCCAACCCAAACACACCAAUACGGCACAUUGUGCCUAACGGUACGUAGUACCUGAUCAGUAUACGACACAUAAGUGCCUGAAACGACACACGAGGUGCCUGAUACGACACAUAAAGUGCCUGAGAUACGACACAUAAAGUGCCUGAUCGGCAAAGCCGAUAAAUCCCGUACUCAUCCAAAUCCUAUGGCAUGCCAACUAUAUCCGACUUAGCCCGACUAGUUAAUAGGGUAUUUAAAUCACAUAUUACCUCAAUUCAAUCACAAUUUCUCACAUUUUCAAUUCAAUCACUUUUCCACCUUUCAAUCGAUAAUUAAUCCACAAAUUCACACAUUUUCACAACUCAAUACAUUUCCAUUCAAUUUAAUAUCAGUCACAAUUCGAUUCAAAUUCAGUUUCCGCUUUCAAUCAACAAACAAUUCAAAUAUUAAUUCAUAUCAAUUAUUUAAUUUAAUUCACACUAAUAAUAAUAAUAAUAAUAAUAAUAAUAAUACUUACCUCACAUUCCAUUUACCAAUCUCAUAAAUUAAAAUUUAACAUUUAAUAAUAAAUAACUUGAAUUAUAGUAAUACAAACCCGAAUUGGCUCAUUAUUCCUCAAUAACCUUCUCCUUUCCUUUGUGUGCCGAUGUCUCGAGUUCCUUGUUAGCUACGAAAAUAAUAAUAAUUUACACCAUCAUUUACAACAUUAAUUUAUAAUAAUAAUAGAAUUUCUAUCUAAUUUAUACUUUAAUUCUAAUUUAAUCCUAACUAAAUUUAUUUACUUUUCCAAUUUAAUUCACACUCUAUUUCUAUUCAAAUUUCAUCCAAACUAAAUUUUAUCUACUAAUUUUUUCAGCAUUUUUCACUAAUUUCGAAUUUCCCUCAAUUUAAUCCCUAAAAUUCAAAACUUAUAGUUUAGUUCACAAUUUAAUCCUUUUAUCAACUCUAACUAGAACUCUAUCAAAUAAAUCAUCAAUUCCAUCAUUUAUUCAACAUAAACCCUACUAAAAAAAAUCUAUUAACUUUCAAAUUUUCAACUUAAAUACAAAAGAGUAUUUCACUCUAGGGUUCCAAAAAAAAAACAUCAAAAUGAAGAGAAAAGGACUAAAUUUAGCUUACCAAUUAACUUGAAGCUUAAAAAUCUCAUUUUCCCCUUUUGUUUUCUUUCCUUUUUUUCUUCCCCUGUUUUUCGUCUCUUUCUCUGUUUCUUUUCUAGCUAUUCUGUUUCUGUUCUUCUUUGUUUCUUUCUUUUACUUUAUUCCUAGUU